GCUGGGCGCGGUGGUGCGUGCCUGUAGUCCCAGCUACUCGGGACGCUGAGGUGGGAGGAUCGCUUGAGCCCAGGAGUUCUGGGCUGUAGUGCGCUAUGCCGAUUGGGUGUUCGCACUAAGUUCGGCAUCAAUAUGGUACCUCCUGGGAGCAGGGGACCGCCAGGUUUCCUGAGGAGGGGUGAACCGGCCCAGGUCAGAAAUGGAACAGGUCAAAACUCCCGUGCUGAUUAGUAGUGGGAUCGCGCCUGUGAAUAGCCACUGCACUCCAGCCUGGGCAACAUAGCGAGACCCCGUCUCU
rnacentral:SRP_RNA from 1 species